CCUACGGGUGGCAGCAGUGGGGAAUAUUGGGCAAUGGGCGCAAGCCUGAUCCAGCAACGCCGCGUGAAGGAAGAAGGCUUUCGGGUUGUAAACUUCUUUUGUCAGGGACGAAGCAAGUGACGGUACCUGCCGAAUAAGCUACGGCUAACUACGUGCCAGCAGCCGGGGGAAUACGUAGGAUGCAAGCGUUAACCGGAUUUACUGGGUGUAAAUGGCGUGUAGGCGGGACUGCAAGUCAGAUGUGAAAACCACGGGCUCAACCUGUGGCCUGCAUUUGAAACUGGAGUUCUUGAGUACUGGAGAGGCGGACGGAAUUCCUAGUGUAGCGGUGAAAUGCGUAGAGAUUAGGAGGAACACCAGUGGCGAAGGCGGUCUGCUGGACGGCGACUGACGCUGAGGCGCGAAAGCGUGGGGAGCAAACAGGAUUAGAUACCCCAGUAGUC
rnacentral:rRNA from 1 species